rnacentral:rRNA from 1 species
GCUGAAACUCGCCUACAUGAAGCUGGAGUUACUAGUAAUCGCAGAUCAGAAUGCUGCGGUGAAUGCGUUCCCGGGUCUUGUACACACCGCCCGUCACACCAUGGGAGUUGGAGACGCCCGAAGCCGAUUAUCUAACCUUUUGGAAGAAGUCGUCGAAGGUGGAAUCAAUAACUGGGGUGAAGUCGUAACAAGGUAGCCGUAUCGGAAGGUGCGGCUGGAUCACCUCCUUUCUAAGGAGA